rnacentral:rRNA from 1 species
UACGUAGGGUGCAAGCGUUUUCCGGAAUUAUUGGGCGUAAAGAGCUCGUAGGCGGUUUGUUGCGUCGGCUGUGAAAUCCCGAGGCUCAACCUCGGGUCUGCAGUCGAUACGAGCAAACUAGAGUGUUGCAGGGGAGACUGGAAUUCCUGGUGUAGCGGUGAAAUGCGCAGAUAUCAGGAGGAACACCGGUGGCGAAGGCGGGUCUCUGGGCAACAACUGACGCUGAGGAGCGAAAGCGUGGGGAGCGAACAGG